GCGUGAGCGAUGAAGGCCUUAGGGUUGUAAAGCUCUUUCACCGGUGACGAUAAUGACGGUAGCCGGAGAAGAAGCCCCGGCUAACUCCGUGCCAGCAGCCGCGGUAAUACGGAGGGGGCUAGCGUUGUUCGGAAUUACUGGGCGUAAAGCGCACGUAGGCGGGUAUUCAAGUCGGGGGUGAAAUCCCGGGGCUCAACCCCGGAAUGGCCUUCGAUACUGGAUGUCUUGAGGUCUGGAGAGGUGAGUGGAAUUCCGAGUGUAGAGGUGAAAUUCGU
rnacentral:rRNA from 1 species